UACAGAGGGUGCAAGCGUUGUUCGGAAUUAUUGGGCGUAAAGCGCGUGUAGGCGGCUUUGCAAGUCGGGUGUGAAAGCCCUCAGCUCAACUGAGGAAGCGCGCCCGAGACUGAAUGGCUUGAGUGCCGAAGAGGGUGGCGGAAUUCCCCAAGUAGAGGUGAAAUUCGUAGAGAUGGGGAGGAACACCGGAGGCGAAGGCGGCCACCUGGGAGGUAACUGACGCUGAGACGCGAAAGCGUGGGGAGCAAACAGGAUUAGAAACCCC
rnacentral:rRNA from 1 species